AUGGUGUGGGAUCGGCAAACCAAGAUGGAGUAUGAGUGGAAACCUGAGGAGCAAGGACUUCAGCACAUCCUGCAGCUGUUGAAGGAGUCCCAGUCCCCAGACACCACCAUCCAGAGAACUGUGCAACAAUUCUAGAAACUGGAACAACUCAAUCAACAUCCAUAUUUUAACAACCACUUGAUUUUUGUUCUUACAAAGUUAAAAUCUGAAGAUGAACCUACAAGAUCACUGAGUGGUCUCAUCUUGAAGAAUAAUGUAAAAGGACAUUUUCAGAACUUUCCAAAUGGUGUAACAGAUUUUUUUUAAAAGUGAGUGUUUAAAUAAUAUUGGUUACUCCUCUCCUCUAAUUAGAGCUACAGUUGGUGUUUUGAUUACAACCAUAGCCUCCGAGGGAGAAUUGCAGAAUUGGCCUGACCUCUUAUCGAAACUCUGUAGUCUGUUGGAUUCCAAAGAUUACAACACCUGUGAGGGAGCAGUUGGUGCUCUUCAAAAAAUAUGUGAAAUUUUAGGUAGUGAUGUUUUAGAUCGUCCUCUCAACAUUAUGAUUCCCAAAUGUUUGCAGUUCUUCAAGCACAGUAGUCCAAAAAUAAGGUCUCAUGCUGUUGCAUGUGUCAAUCAGUUUGUCAUCAGCAGGACUCAAGCUCUGAUGUUGCACAUUGAUUCUUUUAUUGAGAAUCUCUUUGCACUGGCUGGUGAUGAAGAACCAGAGGUACAGAAAAAUGUGUGCUGGGUCCUUGUGAUGCUACUUGAAGUCAGGAUGAAUUGCCUGCUUCCUCACAUGCAUAAUAUAGUUGAGUACAUGCUACAGAGGACUCAAGAUCAAGAUGAAAAUGUGGAUUUAGAAGCCUGUGAAUUUUGGUUAACUUUAGCUGAACAGCCAAUAUGCAAAGAUGUACUCGUAAGGCAUCUUCCUAAGUUAAUUCCUAUGUUAGUGAAUGGCAUGAAAUACUCAGAUAUAGAUAUCAUCCUGCUUAAGGGUGAUGUUGAAGAAGAUAAAACAAUUCCUGAUAGUGAACAGGGUAUAAGGUCAUGUUUUCACUGAUCAAGAACAGUGGCUCAGCAGUACGAUGAAGAUGGAAUUGAAGAGGAAGAAGUUGAUGAUGAUGAAAUUGAUGAUGACAAUACAAUUUCUGACUGGAAUUUAAGACAGUGUUCUGCUACUGCCCUAGAUGUUCUUGCAAAUGUGUAUCGUGAUGAGCUACUUCCACAUAUUUUGCCCCUUUUGAAAGUAUUACUUUUUCAUCACAAGUGGGUUGUUAAAGAAUCAGGCAUCUUGGUUUUAGGAGCAAUUGCUGAAGGUUGCAUGCAAGGCAUGAUUCCAUACUUGCCUGAGCUCAUUCCUCACCUUAUUCAGUGCCUCUCUGAUAAAAAGGCUCUUGUGCGUUCCAUAACGUGCUGGACUCUUGGCCGCUGUGCACACUGGGUAGUCAGCCAGCCCCCGGACGUGUACCUGAAGCCAUUAAUGACUGAACUGCUCAAGCACAUCCUGGAUAGCAACAAAAGAGUACAAGAAGCUGCCUGCAGUGCCUUUGCUACCCUAGAAGUGGAGGCUUGUACAGAACUUGUUCCUUACCUUGCUUAUAUACUUGAUACCCUGGUCUUCGCAUUUAGUAAAUACCAGGAUAAGAACUUGCUUAUUCUUUACGAUGCCAUAGGCACAUUAGCAGAUUCAGUAGGACAUCAUUUAAACAAACCAGAAUAUAUUCAGAUGCUAAUACCUCCACUGAUCCAGAAAUGGAACAUGUUAAAGGAUGAAGAUAAAGAUCUCUUCCAUUUACUUGAGUGCCUAUCUUCGGUUGCCACAGCCCUGUAGUCUGGCUUCCUUCCAUACUGUGAACCUAUGUAUCAGUGUUGUGUAAAUCUAGUACAGAAGACACUUGCACAAGCCAUGCUGAACAAUGCUCAGCCUGAUCAAUAUGAGGCUCCAGAUAAAGAUUUUAUGAUGGUGGCUCUUGAUUUAUUGAGUGGCCUGGCUGAAGGACUUGGAGGUAACAUUGAACAACUGGUGGCCCCAAGUAACAUCCUAACGUUAAUGUAUCAGUGCAUGCAGGAUAAAAUGCCAGAAGUUUGACAGAGUUCUUUUGCACUAUUAGGUGACCUGACAAAAUCUUGCUUUCAGCACAUUAAGCCUUGUAUAGCUGAUUUCAUGCCAAUCUUGGGAACAAACCUAAAUCCAGAGUUCAUUUCAGUAUGCAACAAUGCCACAUGGGCAAUUGGAGAAAUCUCUAUUCAAAUGGGUAUAGAGAUGCAUCCUUAUAUUCCUAUGGUGUUGCACCAGCUGGUAGAAAUCAUUAACAGACCCAACACACCAAAGACGUUGUUAGAGAAUACAGCAAUAACAAUUGGUCGUCUUGGUUACAUUUGUCCUCAAGAGGUGGCUCCCAUGCUACAGCAGUUUAUAAGACCCUGGUGCACCUCUCUGAGAAACAUAAGAGACAAUGAGGAAAAAGAUUCCGCAUUCCGUGGGAUUUGUACCAUGAUCAGUGUGAAUCCCAGUGGCGUAAUUCAAGAUUUUAUUUUUUUGUGAUGCUGUUGCAUCAUGGAUUAACCCAAAAGAUGAUCUCAGAGACAUGUUCUGUAAGAUCCUUCAUGGAUUUAAAAAUCAAGUUGGGGAUGAAAAUUGGAGGCGUUUCUCUGACCAGUUUCCUCUUCCCUUAAAAGAGCGUCUUGCAGCUUUUUAUGGUGUUUAAUCUAAUACACUUAAGCUGCACUCCCAAAAUUAGGGCCCUUUGGUCUUGGAGACUAUGAGGGAGCCUUUUCACCCAGGGAAAAUGUUACCCUUUACAGCGGCGGGGGGGUAAACCAGUAGGGAAUACAGUACAAUCCCAACCCUACUGGGAGGGGCGGGAGGGUGGUGUUGCCGUCACUGUAUUAAGUUGAUGUUGGGAAAUGUUUUAACAUCUGGAGCUUUUGUGGGUGGAAAUCUGUCUCCAAUUACAACUCCGCACUGGAUGUGAA